AUUGAACGCUGGCGGCAGGCCUAACACAUGCAAGUCGAGCGGAUGAAGGGAGCUUGCUCCUGGAUUCAGCGGCGGACGGGUGAGUAAUGCCUAGGAAUCUGCCCGGUAGUGGGGGAUAACGUCCGGAAACGGGCGCUAAUACCGCAUACGUCCUGAGGGAGAAAGUGGGGGAUCUUCGGACCUCACGCUAUCAGAUGAGCCUAGGUCGGAUUAGCUAGUUGGUGGGGUAAAGGCCUACCAAGGCGACGAUCCGUUACUGGUCUGAGAGGAUGAUCAGUCACACUGGAACUGAGACACGGUCCAGACUCCUACGGGAGGCAGCAGUGGGGAAUAUUGGACAAUGGGCGAAAGCCUGAUCCAGCCAUGCCGCGUGUGUGAAGAAGGUCUUCGGAUUGUAAAGCACUUUAAGUUGGGAGGAAGGGCAGUAAGUUAAUACCUUGCUGUUUUGACGUUACCAACAGAAUAAGCACCGGCUAACUUCGUG
rnacentral:rRNA from 1 species